CUUCUUCUUCCUCAUUAGUUGCUGCAACGCCAAAACAGAAUUGGAGGAAAGGGAGAGAAGCUCUCAAACCCUAACCCUUUGAUCCACCAUAACUCCUCCGUCCGGGCUCCGAUCGCCGCACUGUUCACGGCCACACGCUCAGCGCGUCGAGCUCUACCUUUCUAUCCGAACAAUUUCACUGGUUCAAGUUAGCUUCCGAAACUUGUGGGCUCAAGCUAUUGAGCAUAUGGGUAUGGUGUAGUUUAAGAGGGUGUUUAUGCAUUGGACUUGAAUUUGGAUUACUUGGAGCUUUGUUGGUGACAAGGCUUACUUUGGGGCUAUUUGAUUGAGCUUGGAGGGGCUGUGAUUUUGAGUUGUGAGGCUGCCUUGGGUGAACUAAGUGAUCGGCCAAGGUAUGGUUCAAGUUUCGCACGUUUAAUAUUUACGGUGUUGUGAAAACUUAGGUUAGAGGAACCAUAGGAUAAGUUAAAUUGUUUGUUCUAUUUAAUGAUUAGCCUUGUAAUGUUGUUGA